UGAUAGGGGAACACUUGUUGCGUACCAUGUUUGUCCACCUCAAAAUCUGACACUCGCAACGUAAACCAUAGAAAUACAGAGAGAAAGAGCGCGAAAAAGAGAAGAAAUUGCAAGCAUUAGCAAUUAGCAUGGUGUUAGAAAUUGUUGAACCAAAUACUUGCAUAAGAGGAUGCUGUCACAGCAAAACCAUCCCUCUUCAUCUUCCCCCUUCUUCAUUUUCUCUCUCCUCCCCGAUUGCUCGAGGAAGUGAAAGUGUUGUGUAUGAAGGAAUUUUAGAUGGGAAAAAAGUUGCAAUUAAGAAGCCCAUUUUGUCAACUUCUGAAGAUAUUGAUAAAUUUCACAAGCAAUUGCAGUUGUUGUGCAAAUUGGAUCACCCGGGACUCGCGAAGUUAAUUGCAGCUCAUGCAAAGCCACCUAAUUAUAUGUUCUUUUUUGAAUUCUAUGAGUCUGGUACUCUUGCUCACAAGCUACAUGUGGAGGAGUGGAGCCCAAGUAUUGAUCAGGCUCUUGCUAUCACUAUACAAUUAGCGGAGGCUCUGCAGUAUCUACACAACCUUGGGAUUGUACACAGGGAUGUCAAAUCUGCAAAUAUUCUUCUAGGAGAAAAUCUUUCUCCACGCCUAGCAGAUUUUGGCCUGGCAGAGUAUGGCAAAGAUCUCAAAAAAUCUUCUUUGUUGAACUGGAAAUCAUCUGGAAAGCCGACUGGAGGAUUCCACAAGAAAAAUAUGGUUGGGACUCUUAUUUAUAUGGCUCCUGAGAUUUUGAAGAAGGAUAUACACACUGAGAAAUCAGAUGUCUACAGUUUUGCAGUAUCUGUCAAUGAGCUUCUCACAGGGGUUGUUCCGUACACUGAUCUUCGUGCAGAAGCUGAGGCCCAUACUGCAUUGGAAAUGAGUUAUACAGAGCAGAAGCUCAUUGCAGCAGUGGUGUCUGAUGGAUUGCGGCCUGUUAUGGUUGAUUCUGAGUCAGGUGCACCUUUAGGUUUAUUGUCAUUGAUUAAGCGAUGUUGGGAUGCCGAUCCCGAUAAUAGACCUUGUUUCACAGACAUAGUAUCUGAACUUCAAUCAAUUCGCGAUGAGUUGAAAAAUAUGGAGGACAAGAAAAAUAUAUUUGUUGAAGCUAAUGCUUUUCCUCAGCAGUUCAUGGAGCAAAGCUCUAAUUCUCAACUUUAUAGGGAGAAUAUUAACUGGUCUACUCAGGGAGCAGAAAUUUCCAGCAAGACUUCUCUCGGUAUGGCUUCUAGGAAAGAAACUACAUUUGAUUAUCCAAAUGACGCAUCCUCUUACAUUCCGGUGCUGUCUUGGGGCUCCUUUGCUGCAUGUGGCCAGAGGGAGACAAUGGAAGACACUCAUUUCCUCAUGCCUCGGAUAUGUGAUCAAAAGGAUUUCUACUUGUUUGGUGUCUUUGAUGGUCAUCGAGGUGCUGCUGCGGCUGAAUUUUCUGCUCAAGCUUUACCAAAAUUACUACAAAGCUCCUAUUCCAGUGGCAUCAGCCCUGCUGAGUCUCUAGUAAGAGCAUUUGUCGAGACUGAUAUUGCAUUUAGAAGUUCAGUGGACUCCCACCGUAAAUCCAAGGGUUUAAUUAAGAAAGACUGGCAUCCUGGCUGUACAGCAAUAGCUGCUUUUCUUGUAAAAAAUAAGCUUUAUAUUGCAAAUGCUGGGGACUGUAGAGUUAUUUUGUGUAGGGAAGGCCAUGCUAUUGCGCUCAGCAGGGAUCAUGUUGCCAGCUGCCUUGAGGAGAGAGACCGCAUCACAAAGGUGGGAGGUGUUGUGAAAUGGCAACUGGAUACAUGGAGGGUUGGUGCAGCAGCUCUUCAGGUUACACGCUCCAUCGGUGAUGCUGAUCUCAAGCCUGCUGUCACUGCAGAACCUGAGAUAAUGGAGACACAACUGUCUUCAGAAGAUGAAUACCUGAUCAUGGCUAGUGAUGGGUUAUGGGAUGUCAUAAGUGAUCAAGAAGUUGUGAGCAUAAUUAGGGACACAGUUAAAGAACCCAGUAUGUGCGCCAAAAGAUUGGCAACAGAAGCUGCCCAACGCGGAAGCAAGGAUAACAUCACAGUGAUCGUAGUGUUUCUUCGUCCAGUCACAACAGCUGAGAGGAUUUAUUAGCACAAUCCCUCAUAUACGAGUUCGUGCAGGUCGAUGGAAUUUCCAGAGCCCCCUGUGGUAAUAGAGUUGAAGCUAAGGACCUUAAAGACAGAAUACAUCAUGAUUUGCUGUGAAUUAGUGCCCAAUUCCUGGUAUUUCCUUGCCUCGUCCUUGUCAGUGGCAUGUUCUGAAUUGUAUGAUACAAGAUAUGAUUUCAAGAUGGUAAUUGUAGCGAAAAUGACGAGGCUCUGCUUUCAGCCGCUUCUUCUCUGGCUUUACUUCUUCCUGUCUUGCUGUCCUGUUCCACAACGAGAUUUUCAUGAAAACAUAUGCAAGUAUCUCGACUUGGUAACAUCAUCCCUUUGAUUCUGUUUUGAAGCACAAGACUGCUGACUUUCUGCAGCCUUAUGGAGCAUAGGCUUUUCCAUUUACUCAAUAAACUCAACACUCGGCCUUUAUUCAAGAUUACCAUAAAAGGACACUCGAGACUUUUUGGCGCUGCAGUAACUCUGUGUCUCUUCAGGAUGGUUCAGGGAAGCGAUGGUUUGUAGGUCGAGAGCGUCCCUUCACUUUAAUGCGUGUUGCUUAGCAUGUCGUGAAACAGCUUAGAAGUCACCUUACAGUCAAUUCUUUGAGUCACACAGUCAUCUUAUUCAGGAUACAGCUGAUGCUCUUUCCACCAGGCUUACGGGCAAGACUGUUCCUUACUUUGGCUGGUCCUUCGUUGUCACUGCUGCUCAUAAGAUGGGAUGUUGGCUGUAGAGGUCACAUGCUUACUUUGGCUGGUUCUUUACUUUCAAAUUGGACAGGAACUUUGUCAACUUAAUUAUGUCUUUAUGUUGCUCAUCUUUCAAUUAUUAAACAUGCCACUCAAUCAACUCUUGUUGAGAUUUCAAAAAUAAAUAAAUUUGAAGUUCAAUAAAGGUAUAAUAUCAACUUUUUAGGGUA